CAGCUGUGUGUCCAUGAAGAGUGACCAGUCUAUGGAUCAAAUUAUAGAGUUUAGAGAGGGAGACUUUUCUACUGAACAAAGGUACAAGGACAAGGUAGCACGUCCGGUGAACAGGUCAGAGAUCCAAAGUCACAGGCAGACCAGCGGAAACUGGAUCAGCAGCACUACAAGACCAAUCAAGCAGGAGAGACCAGCUUUCCCUGUACCCAGCUGUGUGUCC